rnacentral:rRNA from 1 species
GAUGAACGCUGGCGGCGUGCCUAAUACAUGCAAGUCGAGCGAACAGACGAGGAGCUUGCUCCUCUGACGUUAGCGGCGGACGGGUGAGUAACACGUGGAUAACCUACCUAUAAGACUGGGAUAACUUCGGGAAACCGGAGCUAAUACCGGAUAAUAUAUUGAACCGCAUGGUUCAAUAGUGAAAGACGGUUUUGCUGUCACUUAUAGAUGGAUCCGCGCCGCAUUAGCUAGUUGGUAAGGUAACGGCUUACCAAGGCAACGAUGCGUAGCCGACCUGAGAGGGGGAUCGGCCACACUGGAACUGAGACACGGUCCAGACCCCUACGGGAGGCAGCAGUAGGGAAUCUUCCGCAAUGGGCGAAAGCCUGACGGAGCAACGCCGCGUGGGUGAUGAAGGUCUUCGGAUCGUAAAACUCUGUUAUUAGGGAAGAACAAAUGUGUAAGUAACUAUGCACGUCUUGACGGUACCUAAUCAGAAAGCCACGGCUAACUACGU